CAUAUCAAUAAGCGGAGGAAAAGAAACUAACAAGGAUUCCCCUAGUAACUGCGAGUGAAGCGGGAAGAGCUCAAAUUUGAAAUCUGGCGGCUCUGUCGUCCGAGUUGUAACCUGGAGAAGCGUUUUCCGUGCCGGACCGUGUACAAGUCCCUUGGAACAGGGCGUCGUAGAGGGUGAGAAUCCCGUCUUUGACACGGACUCCCGGUGCUCUGUGAUGCGCUCUCGAAGAGUCGAGUUGUUUGGGAAUGCAGCUCAAAAUGGGUGGUAAAUUCCAUCUAAAGCUAAAUAUUGGCGAGAGACCGAUAGCGAACAAGUACCGUGAGGGAAAGAUGAAAAGCACUUUGGAAAGAGAGUAAAACAGUACGUGAAAUUGUUGAAAGGGAAACGCUUGAAGUCAGUCGCGUCUGCCGGGACUCAGCUCCGCUCCGCGGGGUGCACUUCCCGGCCGACGGGUCAGCAUCGGUUUUGGGGGACGGACAAAGGCGGGAGGAAGGUGGCGGUUUCGGCCGUGUUAUAGCCUCCCGUUGUACGCGCCCUCCGGGACCGAGGAAUCCGGCGCUCGCCGCCUGGGAUGCUGGCGUAAUGGCUUUAAGCGACCC
rnacentral:rRNA from 1 species